AGUCGAGCGGUAACAUUCCUAGCUUGCUAGGAGAUGACGAGCGGCGGACGGGUGAGUAAUGCUUGGGAAUAUGCCAUUGAGUGGGGGACAACAGUUGGAAACGACUGCUAAUACCGCAUAACGUCUACGGACCAAAGGGGGGGAUCUUCGGACCUCUCGCUCAUUGAUUAGCCCAAGUGAGAUUAGCUAGUUGGUAAGGUAAUGGCUUACCAAGGCGACGAUCUCUAGCUGGUUUGAGAGGAUGAUCAGCCACACUGGGACUGAGACACGGCCCAGACUCCUACGGGAGGCAGCAGUGGGGAAUAUUGCACAAUGGGCGAAAGCCUGAUGCAGCCAUGCCGCGUGUGUGAAGAAGGCCUUCGGGUUGUAAAGCACUUUCAGUAAGGAGGAAAGGGAUGUAGUUAAUAGCUGCAUUCUGUGACGUUACUUACAGAAGAAGCACCGGCUAACUUCGUGCCAGCAGCCGCGGUAAUACGAGGGGUGCAAGCGUUAAUCGGAAUUACUGGGCGUAAAGCGUUCGUAGGCGGUUAUUUAAGCAAGAUGUGAAAGCCCAGGGCUCAACCUUGGAACUGCAUUUUGAACUGGAUGACUAGAGUACUGUAGAGGGUGGUGGAAUUUCCAGUGUAGCGGUGAAAUGCGUAGAGAUUGGAAGGAACAUCAGUGGCGAAGGCGGCCACCUGGACAGAUACUGACGCUGAGGAACGAAAGCGUGGGGAGCGA
rnacentral:rRNA from 1 species